GUUUUCCAGCUUCACCACAGCCUUGCUCUGUGGCACUGCUACCAGAUGCACCCCCCAAGCAUGGCACAGCUAAGAAGAGCCCCGUUGAAUCAGACCAGCCCAUCCAGGAACCAGUUUCACACAGCAACUAGCAAGGGAGCCUUAAGUUGUGCAGUUUCAGUGAAUCGCUGAUGAACCUGGAUCAAUGGAAGCUGCAGUGCUAAUCGAUGUCUCAAAGCAAAUACCUUUUUGAAGCAGAACAAUUCCACGCAAGCCUUGUUUACUACUCCCAAGAAGGUUAAUCAUUCUGCAGGGAUUCAGCUCAUCAAUCCCCCUGCCGAAGCAAACUGACCCCUGCAGACAUCAGCAAAGCACUCAUUGAAAUAAAUCUCUGCAAUCCCUGAGCCUGAUUCUGUCCUCCUCGCUUACCCAGUGAUCCUAAAUACAUCUGAUGGAAGGCCGUCUCAUUGAUUCCAAUGGAUUUUUACCUCCAAGUGGUAGACGAUUUUGUCUACCUGGGCUCCACCAUAACCAGCAACCUCUCCAUCAACACUGAACUGGACAAGAGUAUUGGCAUGGCAGCUACAGCAAUGGCUCGCCCCUCCCAGAAGGGUAUGGGAGAAUGUGAUGCUAAUGACCAAUACAAACAUGAAAGUCUACCAGGCCAGUGUGCUGAGAACACUACUUUAUGGUAGUGAGACAUGGACAACUUACA